rfam:Schistosoma mansoni strain Puerto Rico chromosome 1, complete genome
AUCCAGCUGACCUGUCCCAAAUAGGACGAAACGCGUGCCAUGGAU